rnacentral:rRNA from 1 species
UACGUAGGGUGCGAGCGUUGUCCGGAAUCACUGGGCGUAAAGGGCGCGUAGGCGGUUUGGCAAGUCUAUGGUGAAAGCUCGUCGCUCAACGACGAGUCGGCCACGGAUACUGCUGAACUGGAGCACUGUAGAGGCAGGUGGGAAUUCCGGGUGUGAGCGGUGGAAUGCGGUAGAGAGUCGGAAGAACGCCAAGGGCGAAGGCACUCUGCUAGGCCUGAUUUCGCGACUGACACUCAGGGACGAGAGCCAGGGGAGCGAAUGGG